rnacentral:rRNA from 1 species
UACGUAGGGGGCAAGCGUUGUCCGGAAUCAUUGGGCGUAAAGAGCGUGUAGGCGGCCAGAUAAGUCCGCUGUGAAAUCUCGAGGCUCAACUUCGAGCUGUCGGUGGAAACUGUCUGGCUAGAGUCCGGAAGAGGAGAAUGGAAUUCCUGGUGUAGCGGUGAAAUGCGCAGAUAUCAGGAGGAACACCGGUGGCGAAGGCGGCAUCCUGGACCGACACUGACGCUGAGGAGCGAAAGCCAGGGGAGCAAACGGG